GAUGAACGCUGACAGCAUGCCUAAUACAUGCAAGUCGAGCGGACCGAUGGGUAGCGUGCUGGUCGGGCGAGUGCCGCGUACGGAUCAUGCACAAGUGGAUGGCCCAACUAUUGGACUGGAAUGACUUCAGGAGAUCGGAGCUAAUAACGGCUACGUAUAUUAAUGACAUGGUUCUGUACUGAAAGACAGUUUUGCGUUCACUUAGAGAGUUAUCCGCGCCGCGUUGGAUAGUUGGUAUGGUAACGACUUGCCAAGGCAAGGAAGCGGGGCAGACAUGAGAGGGUGGUUGGCCACACUGGAACUGAGACACGCCACAGACUCCUACGGGAGGCACCCGUAGGGAAUCUUGCGCAAUGGGCGAAAGCCUGACGGAGCAACGCCGCGUGAGUGAUGAAGGUCUUCGGAUCGUAAAACGCUGUUAUUCGGGAAGAAAAAAUGUGUAAGUAACUAUGAACGUAUUGACGGUACCUACUCAGAAAGCCACGGCUAACUACGUG
rnacentral:rRNA from 1 species